rnacentral:snRNA from 14 species
GCUCGCUUCGGUAGAACGUGUACGUGCUAACGUUGGGAUGAUACAGAGAAGAUUAGCACGGCUCCUGCGCCAGGA